rnacentral:lncRNA from 1 species
UCUUCUCUCUCAUCUCCAUUCUCUUCUUCCACUUCCACCACUUUUUUUUCCUUUUUCAUUUGUAGGUGCAGGUGCAGUUGCUGCUUUGUUUAUCUGUGUUUGACUCCUUGUGUUUUUUAAAGGUUUACCAGCCCCAAUUGCCUCAACAACAUCAAACCAAUUCAAAUCAUCAUCAUUAUCAAAAACCCAAUAACCACUCAUUGCUAUCAUCAAUAUCAUUUAAAGCAAUAGGAUCAAUCACAUCAUGACACUCAAAGC